rnacentral:rRNA from 1 species
GGCGGAAAGCUAGUUGUAUUAUUAGUUAAUGCAAGAUCGACUACGUCGACUAAAGUUCUAGGUAGAAUAAUGAUGAUGACAAUUUUUUACCUAUAUGUCUUGACCAAGUCUCGUGCCAGCAGUCGCGGUAAUACGUGGAAGACUAGUGUUAUUCAUCUUUAUUAGGUUUAAAGGGUACCUAGACGGUAUUUCUAGCCCAAAAUAGGGUACGGAUUUACUAGAGUUUUAUGUGAGGAGGGGAGUACUCGUGGAGUAGAGAUGAAAUUUUGUUAUACUAUGAGGUAACUGGUGGCGGCGAAAGCAACCUUCUAUGUAUAAACUGACGUUGAGGGACGAAGGCUUGGGUAGCAAAUAGGAUUAGAUACCCUAGUAGUCCAAGCAGACAAUUCUGAAUGCCAUAGAUUAGAUUAUUUUUGGUCUAUAAAUGAAAGUGUAAGCAUUCCACCUUAGGAGUAAUGUGGCAACACAGGAACUGAAAUCAUUAGACCGUUUCUGAAACCAGUAGUGAAGUAUGUUAUUUAAUUUGAUGGUCCACAAAAAACCUUACCACAACUUGAAUAUUUUUUAAUUAAUACAAGCGUUGCACGGCUGUCUUCAGUUAAUGUCGUGAGAUUUUGGUUAACUCCAUUAAUUAACGUAAACCCUUACUUUAUUUA